UGUCUGCCUGAGCGUAUACGUUCUCAUUCCAGGAAGGCUCAUUCUCUGGUACAAAUGUGUCUGGAAGAGAGAAGCAGGGCACACGCAGCUGGGAAGGAGUUUAUAGUGGCACACAGACUUGGAAGGAAAAUCUCAGGGUGCUAGUUCUUUCCUAAAAUUGGUUUUACUGGCCCCUGAUUAUACAGUGAGACACGAAGAUGGCAGUUAAAUAUGACUUUGGGACCAGAGAGUUCCGGUUGGAUCUUGUCUUUGCCAUUCACCACCUGGAGAAAAUUUUUAAUAUUCCACUAUCAGUGCCCACGCACCCAAAGGGCCAGGUCCUGCAUUUUUUCACUUAAC